CUUCUUUUUGUUUAUUUAUUUUUUUAAGUUACUACAGAAAUCUAUCUAUAGAUUUUGUAAGUGUUUGAUGCCAUGUCUUUAUGUCUGUUUUAUUUUAUUUUAUUUUUGUUUCUUUCAAUAUUAUUCAUUUUGUGGAGUACCAAAGACUCAUGUGUGCUGAUUUGGAUAACUACUGAGCUUGUAGAUCUGCGAUUAUUCUCCUGAUCAACAUAGAAGCUUUGAUGGAACUAGUAACUCUUUGUGCUGGUCAUGGGUAGAGGAUAUUCUUGAGAGAGAGAGAGAGAGAGAGAGAGAGAGAGAGAGAGUAGCUGAUGAUGAUGCAUAAAUUACUACAUAAAGAUUGGUUUCUGAUGACGUUUAUUAGAAGCAUACUUGCAAAUCAAGAUCAAGUGUUAAAUUUUUUUUCUUGAACUGAUUCUUAGUUCUAGUUUUAAACCUAGUUGACUGAUAUUUUUUUUGUUGGACUCCGCAUUAGUUCAUUUUGGAAUUUGUUAUGAUGGUUUUUUUUAUUAUACUUAAUGGAUUAUUAUUAAAUUUGUUUGAUGGAUAUAUUUUCAUUUAUGAUAUAAAUUGUUUAGUGAAUUA